rnacentral:rRNA from 1 species
GGUUAAGCGACUAAGCGUACACGGUGGAUGCCCUGGCAGUCAGAGGCGAUGAAGGACGUGCUAAUCUGCGAUAAGCGCCGGUAAGGUGAUAUGAACCGUUAUAACCGGCGAUUUCCGAAUGGGGAAACCCAGUGUGAUUCGUCACACUAUCAUUAACUGAAUCCAUAGGUUAAUGAGGCGAACCGGGGGAACUGAAACAUCUAAGUACCCCGAGGAAAAGAAAUCAACCGAGAUUCCCCCAGUAGCGGCGAGCGAACGGGGAGGAGCCCAGAGCCUGAAUCAGCAUGUGUGUUAGUGGAAGCGUCUGGAAAGGCGCGCGAUACAGGGUGACAGCCCCGUACACAAAAGCGCAUGUGCUGUGAGCUCGAUGAGUAGGGCGGGACACGUGGUAUCCUGUCUGAAUAUGGGGGGACCAUCCUCCAAGGCUAAAUACUCCUGACUGACCGAUAGUGAACCAGUACCGUGAGGGAAAGGCGAAAAGAACCCCGGCGAGGGGAGUGAAAAAGAACCUGAAACCGUGUACGUACAAGCAGUGGGAGCACAGGUUUACCUGUGUGACUGCGUACCUUUUGUAUAAUGGGUCAGCGACUUAUAUUCUGUAGCAAGGUUAACCGAAUAGGGGAGCCGGAGG